GCCGGCAGCUAGCUCUCUGCAACUCUCACAUGGUCGCCCACUGAAGCUAAGCAGGGCUGCGCCCGGUCAGUUCCUGGAUGGGAGACCACAUGGAAACUUUAGGUUGCUGCCGUAA
rnacentral:rRNA from 1 species